AGAGAGAGACAUGCGCGCAUAUCAAUAAGCGGAGGAAAAGAAACUAACAAGGAUUCCCUUAGUAACGGCGAGUGGAGCGGGAAGAGCUCAAAUUUGAAAUCUUCGAGGUUUUACCUUGACGAAUUGUAGUUUAAAGAAGUGUUUUCUGCUGAAGUUUUGGUAAAAGUUCUUUGGAAUAGGACAUCAUAGAGGGUGAGAAUCCCGUAUUUGACCAUUAUUUUCAGCUUUGUGAUACACUUUCAAAGAGUCGGAUUGUUUGGGAAUGCAGUCCAAAAUGGGUGGUAAAUUUCAUCUAAAGCUAAAUAUUGGCGAGAGACCGAUAGCGAACAAGUACCGUGAGGGAAAGAUGAAAGGAACUUUGAAAAGAGAGUUAAACAGUACGUGAAAUUGUCAAAAGGGAAGCGUUUGACACCAGUGUUGUUUUCUCGAAAAUCAAUUAAAAAUGGCUCGAUUUUGUAUUGCUUGAGACCUUAAAAGCUCACUGUACAUUUUUCGUGUCUUUUUUAAUGCACUUUUCGUUUAACAAGUCAACAUCAGUUUCUUUUGUUGUAAAAGGGUCAUUGGAAGGUGGCUUUCUUUUCGGAGAAAGUGUUUAUAGCCUUUGGCCUCUGCAAUCGAAGAGACUGAGGUCUGCAGCGUAGACUCUUCGGGGUUAGAUACAUUUGUGCUAAGUUAUAGCUUUUUAUAGACAACUUGUUGACUAUAAUUAGUCUUGUAGCUUACUCGCUUAUGCUAUUCUACCUACGCUUAGGAUGUUGAGUCGUAGAGCACGCAG
rnacentral:rRNA from 1 species